CCUACGGGAGACAGCAGUGAGGAAUAUUGGUCCAUGGGCGCGAGCCUGAACCAGCCAAGUCGCGUGGGUGAUGACGGUCCUACGGAUUGUAAACCUCUUUUGCCGGGGAGCAAGCGUGCGAUCGUAAACGCGCGUCGAGAGUACCCGGAGAACAAGCAUCGGCAAACUCCGUGCCAGCAGCCGCGGUAAUACGUAGGAUGCGAGCGUUAUCCGGAUGUAUUGGGUUUAAGGGGUGCGUAGGCUGGAUGCCAUGUCAGUGGUAAAAAUGCGGUGGUAAACGCAGUCGAGCCGUUGAAACUGGCGUACUUGAGUGCGCGAGAAGUAUGCGGAAUGCGUGGUGUAGCGGUGAAAUGCAUAGAUAUCACGCAGAACUCCGAUUGCGAAGGCAGCAUACCGGCGCCCUACUGACGCUGAGGCACGAAAGCGUGGGUAUCGAACAGGAUUAGAUACCCGAGUAGUC
rnacentral:rRNA from 1 species